GAGCAGCUGGAGCUGGCUCUGAUCUGACAUGGGGCAGCUGCUGGGCUCUGCUCGAGCCACCCCUUGAGCUCCCUGCUACCAAACCCUUCCCACAUAAACCCAGUGCUGACUGAUUGCCUGCUGAGAAGCAGCUACGAGUCUAACAGACCGAGGUCCCUAUUAAAGCCUUUCCUUAUACCAGAGCUGUGAAAUCAUGCUUGUUGCCUUCCUCAGUUCUGUUUCAAGUUGUACUGCAUCCUUUUGGAGACUGGGUGACCUGACCUCCAUACACAUAUUGGUGUAUUGCAGCACAAUCUCAGAUGAGCAGCUCUCUCAGGAGGCUGCACAGAAUGAGGGAAAAUGAGAGAAUUUCUCUCAGCAAGAACUGUAGCCACAGUGCAAAGGCAGCCUCAUCCCCAGCUGAGAAGCCCUGGGUUUGAUGGUGGUGCUGAUGCCUUGAGGGAUCUCUCAUCGUUUCACCUGUGCUUUGUUUCAUCUUCCACCAUCCAAGUGCAAGAGGUCAGGAGCUGUAUGUAUUUCCCCUUUUUAUUCUUAAUCAAAGCAAGUCCAGACCAAAUCCUACAUGGCUACAGAGAAUGACAAAAGAAAAGGGGGACAGAUUUAUUUUCAAAGUAAACACCCUCCCCCACAGUAAUUCAUUGAUGAUGGUUUCCUACAUAACAUCUUGAGCAUAUUCAUUUUUAUAAUAUCUGGGGCCUAGGGCAUCGUGUGAAAAAAAAAUAAAAUUCUUUAUGCCUUUUUAUGCCUGCAAUCCCAAGACACUCCCUCCCCUGCUAGCAGUGAUAUAUUCCCAAUAUCCUCAUUAGCAAGCUCUGGGAGAGAGAAAGUAAAAAGCCUCAGGAGUCACAAGGGGGAGAAGACAGGAGAGUGCAGAAGAGGCUCCAGUCGAGCUGCUAAGAAUAGCAGCAGUGCAGCUCAGGCUAAAAAUAUCUGUUCCUGAUGACGGAAUCCAGACGAGGAAUAAAAUCACGUUCACGCUGCCCAGCUCUGACCCAAGCACAUGCAGUGAGGAUAUAAGCAAAGAAAUGAUGAUUAAACAGAGUUAUAAAACAGUGAGUCAUGGCAUCAGAAAGCAACAGCAUUCCAGUUCCCACGACGAAGAAACCCAGCUCGCUGGGCUCACCCGCAGAAUAACCAAACAACCCGGUGCUUUUUAUAUCCGACGGAUUUAAUAGCACUGGAAUGUCAAACACGCCUGUGCCAGGGAUUAAUCUCUGCUUUCCAAGCUCCUUUCAGCUCUGUGUGUCAGCUGUGAGCUCCUGAGCUCAGGGCAGGUUUCCUGCUACGCCUGGGGUGGGGAGCAAAGCUGCAGAGCUGGCAGCGGUGCUGGCUGCUUGCCUGGGCGCCCUGCGGUCCCAAGUGGGACCCAAGUCUGAGGACAGAAAGGCAAGGGGAAAUUUCUGCUCCCUGAAAUGUUUCUGCUGACUUCAGCUUUCCUGUGCUGGCGUCAUUAUUUCCAGCUCUGCUCCGCGCAUGAUGAAUAGGGCCAGGAGUGAUUGUGGUGGGUCCUAAUUGCAGGGUGCACAUCACAACAGACAAUGCUAAAAGAGGAGGGCAGGGAGUGAAUUUAGCCUCGUUACAAUCACCCUUGGAAAGAUGUAUAAGUGAAUCACAAAUACCUCAGCUGUGUAAGGCACCUGGAUCCACUUGAGGCAUCCCCUUGCCUGGGCACGAUGCCCUGGCAAGGAAAAACACCAUCACUGUAGCAGAGCAUUGCUUUAGAGAGGACCUUCUUGUGACUCCCCUGCCUCCUUGGAGAAAAACUUCUGGGCUGGAGGAGGACCAAAGGGACAAGGGAAUGCAGAGUUCCUUCCCUGCAAUGAGCCCUGCUGGGAGGUGACUCCUGGUACCCUCAGCAGGUUGCCAAAACUGGACUCAGUUGAAUGGCACGGUAACAGCUGUGGCUGUGGGACCCAAACUCCUUUGCACAGACAUAUCCUGGAGACCUUGCAAUGCUGCAGACAACUCAGCCUGCAUACGUUAUGGACCAAGAGAUGGACAAAAGAGAUUUUUGGUACUUCUUGGUACCAGCUUGGAGAUACUUAUGUACCACAUCAUGGUCUUUUUGGUGUGCUUUGUGUUGAUAGCAAGCUCCUGGGGCUUACAGCACCCUGGGGCAAAGGGAGGCCCUUGUACUUCUUGAAGGAGGACAUGGGAAGGUGAGUAGGGAGCUGACGGGGUGCUCAGUGUAGUCCAGUGUCACCCAGAUGAUGAACCCAAAGGAGGCAGCACUGCUGCAGAUGUGGCCAUGAGUCUGGCUCGAUCGUGUUGCUGUUUGAGUCAUGUUAAAUCAUCGUUCUGUGGGCAGAAUGAUGGCAAUAAAAGCUUGGGAGCAGUCAGCAUUGCAGCUAAAAACAAAUUAACCUUACGCACCAUUUCUUGCUUGUGGAACAAGAAGCCACCUCUCUGGGUGCAGUAAGAGCCUGAAAUAUCCUUCUUUUAUGGUGUCUUGAAUGCUCAAGGAACUGCUCCUCUGAACUUGAUUCCUUUCUAGAACACAAGAUAUAAAUGUCACUUUUUAGUUUCCUCGAGUUUUGAAGGAAACCAGGGCUGUGAGAAGUGAUGAAGGUGGUGAGAUGGACUGCCCUCUCUCUUCUUUGCUUGUCUGAAACUUACUGACACUUACCAGGCUCCCCUGGUAAGUCUUUGAGUCUUUGUCAAGACUCAUCAAAAAGACGAAUUUGAGAAGUACCAGGAGGAAAAGGCUGACAACGAGAGGAAAUACAAUCACACAAGCUUUGUCUCUGGUGAAAUAAAGGCCUAAAAAUCCUCUCUACUACUCUGUUAUACCAAAGAUCAUUUCAAAGCAAUCUAAGAAUUAAAGAUAAACCCGAAGCAGCUGCUGCUUAGAAGUUAAAAUGGGAGUUUACCCCUGUAUUUCAAAUAACCCAAAGUCUGUCCAGUUUGCAUGAAAAAUUAUUUGUCAGGAGGCCUAGGCUCCACUCCCAGGAGCUGGCAGAGCACAACUCUGCCUGGUGCUGAGCAGUGGGAGUGCCAUUCCAAGGUGUACCAGCUCUCCUUCCAAAGUGUCAAAAUUUAACUGCU